UCAGUAUUCAAUUGUCAGAGGUGAAAUUCUUGGAUUUAUUGAAGACUAACUACUGCGAAAGCAUUUGCCAAGGAUAUUUUCAUUAAUCAAGAACGAAAGUUAGGGGAUCGAAGACGAUUAGGUACGUCGUAGUCUUAACCAUAAACUAUGCCGACUAGGAAUCAGACAACGUUAAAUUUUUAAUGACUUGUUCGGCGCCUUACGGGAAAC
rnacentral:rRNA from 1 species